rnacentral:rRNA from 1 species
ACGGGUGCGUAACGCGUGGGAAUCUGCCCUUGGGUUCGGAAUAACAGUGAGAAAUUACUGCUAAUACCGAAUGAUGACGUAAGUCCAAAGAUUUAUCGCCCAAGGAUGAGCCCGCGUAGGAUUAGCUAGUUGGUGAGGUAAAAGCUCACCAAGGCGACGAUCCUUAGCUGGUCUGAGAGGAUGAUCAGCCACACUGGGACUGAGACACGGCCCAGACUCCUACGGGAGGCAGCAGUGGGGAAUAUUGGACAAUGGGCGAAAGCCUGAUCCAGCAAUGCCGCGUGAGUGAUGAAGGCCUUAGGGUUGUAAAGCUCUUUUACCCGGGAUGAUAAUGACAGUACCGGGAGAAUAAGCUCCGGCUAACUCCGUGCCAGCAGCCGCGGUAAUACGGAGGGAGCUAGCGUUAUUCGGAAUUACUGGGCGUAAAGCGCACGUAGGCGGCUUUGUAAGUUAGAGGUGAAAGCCUGGAGCUCAACUCCAGAACUGCCUUUAAGACUGCAUCGCUUGAAUCCAGGAGAGGUGAGUGGAAUUCCGAGU